GCAGAAGUCCGAAGCAGCCAAGGACGCUCUCCUAAAGCGGGUGUCGCCGGUUCGAAUCCGGCCAGGUGCA
rnacentral:tRNA from 1 species